GAUGAACGCUGGCGGCGUGCCUAAUACAUGCAAGUCGAGCGAACAGACGAGGAGCUUGCUCCUUCGACGUUAGCGGCGGACGGGCGAGUAACAUGUAGGUAACCUACCUAUAAGACUGGGAUAACUUCGGGAAACCGGAGCUAAUACCGGAUAAUAUUUCGAACCGCAUGGUUCGAUAGUGAAAGAUGGCUUUGCUAUCACUUAUAGAUGGACCUGCGCCGUAUUAGCUAGUUGGUAAGGUAACGGCUUACCAAGGCAACGAUACGUAGCCGACCUGAGAGGGUGAUCGGCCACACUGGAACUGAGACACGGUCCAGACUCCUACGGGAGGCAGCAGUAGGGAAUCUUCCGCAAUGGGCGAAAGCCUGACGGAGCAACGCCGCGUGAGUGAUGAAGGUCUUCGGAUCGUAAAACUCUGUUAUUAGGGAAGAACAAACGUGUAAGUAACUGUGCACGUCUUGACGGUACCUAAUCAGAAAGCCACGGCUAACUACGUG
rnacentral:rRNA from 1 species